AUUGAACGCUGGCGGCAGGCCUAACACAUGCAAGUCGAACGGUAACAGGAAGAAGCUUGCUUCUUUGCUGACGAGUGGCGGACGGGUGAGUAAUGUCUGGGAAACUGCCUGAUGGAGGGGGAUAACUACUGGAAACGGUAGCUAAUACCGCAUAACGUCGCAAGACCAAAGAGGGGGACCUUCGGGCCUCUUGCCAUCGGAUGUGCCCAGAUGGGAUUAGCUAGUAGGUGGGGUAACGGCUCACCUAGGCGACGAUCCCUAGCUGGUCUGAGAGGAUGACCAGCCACACUGGAACUGAGACACGGUCCAGACUCCUACGGGAGGCAGCAGUGGGGAAUAUUGCACAAAGGGCGCAAGCCUGAUGCAGCCAUGCCGCGUGUAUGAAGAAGGCCUUCGGGUUGUAAAGUACUUUAAGCGGGGAGGAAGGGAGUAAAGUUAAUACCUUUGCUCAUUGACGUUACCCGCAGAAGAAGCACCGGCUAACUCCGUG
rnacentral:rRNA from 1 species